CAUUAUUGAAUAAACUUGGGUUAGGUUGUUGCUGGUCCCUAGGGGCAUGUGCACGCCGACUCCAUUUUUAACCACCUGUGCACCUUGCGUAGAUCUGAUAAUCUCGAGGAAACUCGGUUUGAGAAUUGCUGNGCAAACNGCUCUUCUUGUAAUCCGGNCUAUGUUUCUAUAUACCCCACACGAAUGUAUUUUGAAUGUCNUAACUGGCCUUUGUGCCUUUAAAAACAAAUACAACUUUCAACNACGGAUCUCUUGGCUCUCGCAUCGAUGAAGAACGCANCGAAAUGCGAUAAGUAAUGUGAAUUGCAGAAUUCAGUGAAUCAUCGAAUCUUUGAACGCACCUUGCGCUCCUUGGUAUUCCGAGGAGCAUGCCUGUUUGAGUGUCAUGAAAUUCUCAACCUCUCUAGUUUUUUCGACUAGUUAGGCUUGGAUUUGGAAGCUGCUGGCUCGUUCAGCUCUUCUUAAAUAGAUUAGCAAAGAUCUUUGCUGCUCAUCAUUGGGAUGAUAAUUAUCUAUAUCAUUGAUAAACAGUGUCCUUUACAGGAGAGCUCUUGCUUCUAAUCNUCUUUCUAAGACAAUUUGAUAACUUUUGACCUCAAAUCAGGUAGGACUACCCGCUGAACUUAAG
rnacentral:rRNA from 1 species